UUCUUCUCUUCUUCUUCUUCGUUCGUGUUAUCUCUCCAAUAACAACAAAGCUGAGUCUUCUUCUUCCUCCAUUUUUCUCUUCUUCGAUCAAAUAGGAAUAUUGAGGGAGACCAAUAGCAGAAGUGAGUCUUGGUAUGCUUAUAGACAUUGUGGACGAGGAGUGGAUGAGGGACACUCUCCCUGUUGAUGAUCUCCCAUUGCCUCUAGUGUUUGCUGUUAGGACUGAUGAUACUGAAAAAACCAGUAUGUUUUUUUUUC